rnacentral:rRNA from 1 species
CUACGGGUGGCUGCAGUGAGGAAUAUUGCGCAAUGGGGGAAACCCUGACGCAGCGACGCCGCGUGGAUGAUGAAGGCCUUCGGGUUGUAAAAUCCUGUCAGAUGGGAAGAACUGUUACAUGUCUAAUAUAUGUGUAACCUGACGGUACCAUCAAAGGAAGCACCGGCUAACUCCGUGCCAGCAGCCGCGGUAAUACGGAGGGUGCAAGCGUUGUUCGGAAUUACUGGGCGUAAAGCGCGCGUAGGCGGCUAUGUAAGUCAGAUGUGAAAGCCCAUGGCUUAACCAUGGGCGUGCAUUUGAUACUGCAUGGCUUGAGUACUGGGGGGGGUGGUGGAAUUCCCGGGGUAAAGGUGAAAUUCGUAGAUAUCGGGAGGAAUACCGGUGGCGAAGGCGACCACCUGGCCAGAUACUGACGCUGAGGUGCGAAAGCGUGGGGAGCAAACAGGAUUAGAUACCCCAGUAGUC